CCUACGGGGGGCUGCAGUAACGAAUCUUCCGCAAUGCGCGAAAGCGUGACGGAGCGACGCCGCGUGCUGGACGAAGUCCUUCGGGAUGUAAACAGCUGUCAGGGGGAAGAAAGACCUGAUCUACCCCAGAGGAAGGGGCGGCUAACUCUGUGCCAGCAGCCGCGGUAAUACAGAGGCCCCGAGCGUUAGGCGGAAUCACUGGGCUUAAAGCGUGUGUAGGCGGACCGGUAAGUACCUUGUGAAAUCCCACGGCUCACCCGUGGAACGGCUGGGUAUACUGCCGGUCUUGAGCCACCCAGGGGCGAGCGGAACAGAUGGUGGAGCGGUGAAAUGCGUAGAUAUCAUCUGGAACGCCGAUGGUGAAAACAGCUCGCUGGGGGUGCGCUGACGCUGAGACACGAAAGCCAGGGGAGCGAACGGGAUUAGAUACCCCUGUAGUC
rnacentral:rRNA from 1 species